rnacentral:tRNA from 1 species
AGGGGUUUAGGAUAAUUGUUAAACCAAGGGCCUUCAAAGCUCUAAAUGAGGGUGAAAACCCCCCAGCCCCUG